rnacentral:rRNA from 1 species
GGAAUUUAUUGGGCGUAAGCGCGCGCAGGUGGUUUCUUAAGUCUGAUGUGAAAGCCCACGGCUCAACCGUGGAGGGUCAUUGGAAACUGGGAGACUUGAGUGCAGAAGAGGAAAGUGGAAUUCCAUGUGUAGCGGUGAAAUGCGUAGAGAUAUGGAGGAACACCAGUGGCGAAGGCGACUUUCUGGUCUGUAACUGACACUGAGGCGCGAAAGCGUGGGGAGCAAACAGGAUUAGAUACCCUGGUAGUCCACGCCGUAAACGAUGAGUGCUAAGUGUUAGAGGGUUUCCGCCCUUUAGUGCUGAAGUUAACGCAUUAAGCACUCCGCCUGGGGAGUACGGCCGCAAGGCUGAAACUCAAAGGAAUUGACGGGGGCCCGCACAA